rnacentral:rRNA from 1 species
UGAAAUCCCGGGCUCUACUUGCCAGCCGCAUCCAAAAUGCGAGCUAGAGUCACUAGAGGGGGUGGAGUCUCACGUGUAGCGGUCAUCGUGUAGAUAUAGGAAGGCACGCCAGUGGAGAAGGCGUCCUCCUGGACUGAUCGAGACACUGAGGUCAGAAAGCGUGGGGAGCAACCAGGAUUAGAUCCGUGGUUAGUCCUAGCUGUAAGCGAUGUCGCCUAGCACAUGGAAUCCCAGUGAUCCUUGUGGCGCAGAAGUCGCGCUAAGUCGACAGUGUGGGGAGUACGGCCGCAAGGUUAAAACUCAAAUGAAUUGACGGGGGCCCGCACAAGCGGUGGAGCAUAAAUCCAAUUAGAAGCAACGCGAAGAGCCUUACCUGGCCUUGACAUGCGGAGAACUCUCCAGAGAUGGAUUGGUACCUUGGGGCAGUCAGACACAGGUGCUGCAUGGCUGUCGUCAGCUCGUGUCAGAGAUGUUGGGUUAAGUCCCGUAACGAGUCCAACCCUUGUCCUUAGUCACCAGCCCCUCCGGUGGGCAAGAUAAGGAGACUGCCGGUGACAAACCGGUGGAAGGUGGGGAUGAGUUCAAGUCAUCAUGAUCCUUACGUCCAGUGCUACACACGUGGUGCAAUGGUCGGUACAAAGGGUCGCCAAGCCGCGAGGUGGAGGCAAUUCCAUAAAACAGAUGGUCGUCCGCACCGCACUAGCCAACUUCAUUGCAUGAAGUCGGAAUCGCUAGUAAUCGUGAAUCAGAAUGUCGCGGUGAAUACGUUCCCGGCCGGUGUCCACCCCGCCCGUCACCCCAUGGGAGUGGGCCCUCCGGACGUAGCUAGUCUUCACGCAAGGGGGACGGUUUCCAGGCAGUGAUUCAUGAGUGGGGUGAAGUCGUGGCUAGAUAUCC